CGGGGGAGCGCGGGCUGCGUGCCGGGUGUGGCGGGGUGUGCUCGGGCCGGGGCAGCGGGGCUCCCUUAGCUGUAGGCACGCACAGGCCGAGGCCCCACCGGCGCGCUGCCGCCCAGACCCAGCUCCCCAUUAAAACGCGGCAAAACCCGGCCUUCUGAGAGGGUUUUUAAAGAGCGGCAAACAGAGAAAAUAGUAGGUGUGUGCUGUAUAGAGGUAAAUUGGGCUGAGCCAGUCUGCCUUUCUCCAGGGUCUCCAUGUCAUUUACAAUGGAAUGAAGUUAUCGUCAUUAUCUUCAUUUUGCAGAUGGGGAAGACUGGGGCACAAGGAAGAGAAGUGACUUCCCCUGGUGUUACAGCGUAUCUGAGAACAGAACACACACUCCUAACUCUCAGUCCAAUGCCGUAUUUACUAGAGCAUAUAAAGCCUCACCAGAAAGCAGAUCCAAUGCAAUUACAAUACGGAUAAUCUCAUUAACUCUUUAGCCAAUCCCAUUCUCAAACUUUCAGGCUGUUGUAAAGCUACAGGAAAUAUAUUUUAGAAGAGAUACAUCCAUCUUCAUUACACUGCUCUCUUUCCUAUUAAUUUAUUUGUUGGCCAAACCCUGCUUGUCUUACUUGUGAGCAAGUAAAUGGGAAUACAGCGGAAAGACUUCACCCUGAAUGUUAUAGUUGCAGGAAGGGAGAAACCACAACCCAUUAUUGGGAGCUCCGGAAAUGAAUUGGUGUGUAGUGUUAUUGCAAUGAUUAUUAAUUGAAUUCCACUGAAAACAGCUAGGGAUUACAACAUCCUGAAUGUGAACUCAGAGGACAAAGACGUGCACAGUUGAGCUUUUAGUCAGAUGGAAACAGUUGAAGAUGAGAUGCAAGCUCUCUGAGCCUCAAUUAUAAACAGGGUCCCUGAAAAUCACCAGUGUUUCAUGGAUCAUUUCUGCAGGAGCAUUUUUAUAGAUUUGUUGUCAGUUAUGCAUCACUCGUAUGUGUUGGCAGAAACCACUGACUAUAAAUUUUCAGAAAACUCAACAUCUUAUGUGCAUGUAAAGAAAGUUAGAGUUCCAGCCAACUAGCACAUAAGCAACAUUUAAUGAUUGUAAUGUCAGCAGGUGAUUUGAAAUUUCAUUAAACCCACUCCCCUUUUAAUAUUCCUGGUGGUUUGAAAUAUGUUUUGGAAUCUCAAAGUGCUGCAUGUUUGGUUCUGCAGCUGAGGAAGCUGAGGUUGCAACAGUGAAGUUACUGUAUGACCUUUGGCAUGCUGGGAAAUAUAAGCCAAGACUCCUGACUCCCAGCUCUCUACUUUAGAAACAAAGCAAUAAUGGUAAUCCCUAAAACUGAAUGGAGGCUGGGAGAGGAAGAGAGGCAUGUUUUAAAACAGACCUCCCCAUUUGUUCAUUCUCCUGCAUACUGCUUUCUGUCUUCCUCACCCUCUUCCCUUCCAUUUCUCCUUCCCCUUCAUUUUCUUCCCAACAGUCUUCUAGUUUUGCAGACUCUCACAUGUCCUAUCUCCCCGUUUCAGAAACACUGGAUAAGCCAGCAGUGAGAAGAGACACAGUUAAGAGAUUGCUGUCAGUGUUUCGUACAUUCCAUUUCAGGAAUCAGACAAAGCUCAUUUCUGAAGCCUGCUCUGAAUUCUGAAAAUCCAGGGGACUCUGGUUAUAACAAAGUAGUCAUAGCAUUCUGUGCAGCCGGCCCACAGUACUCUUUAAAAAUGAUUACCCUGUCUUCAGCUUCUUAACUAGGAUUGUUACAGCUGUCUCUUAGCAUUUGUUUUCUUCCUUGUUCUUUUAGCCAUUCUUUAGCCUGAAAGGCAGAUGAAAGCCCAGUGAUUAUUCACCGUUUCUAUAUAUAGCUACAACAUAUAUCAAUAGAGCAAGGGAGAAACUUAAGGACAAGGGAAACUUUUUGUCUAUUCACUACCACUGGGAAGUAAAACAAUGUUUUUAAGCAGCUAUAUACAUGUUGCUAAUGCAUACCAUUAAUGUACAUUUUUAUAAGUAAAAGGUACAAUUUCAGGGCUUGCUCCUGCAUAACUGUAAUCCCUAAUCAUGUAAACAAGUCCCAUUUUAAGGGUUUGCAGAAUCAGGUCUUAAUUUUUAAAUAAUAAUCUGUGUAAAGUGGGCACAUUUAAAGAGCAUUCAGCAGUCAGGAUAUGCAAAACUAGAAAUCCAAAAUACUCACGGUAAUGACAAGGCUGAGAAAAGAAUUUGGAGCCAGCCCUAUUCACUUAAAUGACCACAUCCUUGCACAGCUGAAAGGGGCUUCUGGACCCCUAUGUUCAGGGUGCGUAGGUGAAGAUAGCUCCUCCCCCGAACGUUGGUUUGGUAAAAAACAAUCCAGUGAGGUAUGGCCUAGAUGUUGUUGCCUUGGUAUUCUAAAUUUCAGUUUCGAUAGAAAUUAUUUAUUUUUAAAGGAAUAAAGUUCCCUAUCCAUUUUUUCAACCCCACCACUACAGCUUCUUGCUAAAGUGACAACUAGGAAAUCAAAAUGAUUAGAAAUGGACUCAUCAAUCUUCAUUGCCCAAACAGAGUGAAAUGCACAGUAGAAAGUAACAGCAUAAAUAGUGCAUAAGAAACAAGAUUUUUUUUUAAAUUGUCCUUUAAUAAUUUAAGGCAUCAUUAGUGGCACAGGGAAGAAAAUGCAUUUAAAGAACAAGGAGCCCAAUAUUGCUGCCAUAAACAUACACAUUGAAAUCAAUGGGCAGGAAAGUGAGCCCAUGUGAAUUUUAACUUGAUAGUGUCCCCUUAGGGUUAGUGUAAAACCUUUAAGUUUGCAUUUCCUAACUCUGAGUGUUUUCAAAUGGUGUAGAAUCUCACAGUAAUGAUGGAGAAUCCCAUUGAGAGCAAUUGAUUUUUGCAAAUAACCCAGACCCUAAUUCUGCAGUUGCAUUCUUUGGGGCAAACCUUUGUACAUGUACCAAGAGCCAUUGACUUCUGUCCUAUCCCCAAAAGACACCAGAUGUGACUAAAUAUUGAGAAGCUAAGAAGAUGGUUGUCUGGAAGCUCAAAGGCAGAGGUUCCUAAAAUGACAUUAACUCUGCCAUAUUCCACAUCUUGUGUAUUUUAUUUAUUCGUUUCACAGUACAAAAAAGGGAGACAGAUAAAAAAUACUCUGCAAUGUGGCCAAGUUAACAUUACUGCCUUCUCAGUGUUACAGUGCUCAGACUAUCAAGUUGUAUGCAAACUUAGGCUAUGGAACAACAUAUUCUUGUUUGUCUCCCCAUUUCCUUCCCUUCUAUUGCUUGUUCCACUUAAUCAUUAUGUCUUGCCUUGAAUUGGACUAUAAACUUCUCAGAGCUUAGGCCCUGUAUCUUCCUACGUAUUCGUACGGCACCUAGCACAAUGGGGUCCCAUCUGGGGCUUCUGAGCACUACCAUAAUG